AUUGAACGCUGGCGGCAGGCUUAACACAUGCAAGUCGAACGAGUGGCGGACGGGUGAGUAAUGCUUGGGAAUCUAGCUUAUGGAGGGGGAUAACUAAGGGAAAAAGUAGCUAAUACCGCGUACCAUAGGAUGAGCCCAAGUGGGAUUAGGUAGUUGGUGAGGUAAAGGCUCACCAAGCCGACGAUCUGUAGCUGGUCUGAGAGGAUGACCGGCAACCCUGGAAUGUAGACACGGCCCAGACUCCUACGGGAGGCAGAAGUGGGAAAUAUUGGACAAUGGGGGCAACCUGAUGCAGCCAUGCCGCGUGAAUGAAGAAGGCUUUCGGUUUGUAAAGUUCUUUCGGCAGAGAGGCGGUACCUGAAGAAGAAGCACCGGCUAACUCCGUGCCAGCAGCCGCGGUAAUAC
rnacentral:rRNA from 1 species